rnacentral:rRNA from 1 species
CACGUAGGGGCGAGCGUUGUCCGGAUUUAUUGGGCGUAAAGAGCUCGUAGGCGGUUUCGUAAGUCGGAUGUGAAAACUCCAGCUCAACUUGGAGACGCCAUUCGAUACUGCGAUGACUUGAGUCCGGUAGGGGAGUGUGGAAUUCCUGGUGUAGCGGUGAAUGCGCAGAUAUCAGGAGGAACACCACGGCGAAAGCACUCUGCUGGGCCGACACUGACACUGAGAGACGAAAGCUAGGGGAGCGAAUGGG